GCUAGCAGCUAGCUCUCUGCAACUAUCAUAUGGUUGCCCACUGAAGCUAAGCAGGGCUGCGCCCGGUUAGAACUUGGAUGGGGGACCACAUGGGAAAGACUGGAAAAGCAAGGU
rnacentral:rRNA from 1 species